AAAUAAAUAAAUUAAUUAAAAUUUAUAUCAAAAUAAAUGCUUCAUAAACUUAGGCAUGUAUAUUUGUUUUUAGGAAGUGAUUAUUCAUGCUGUGCUGGCAUAUAUAUAAAAAAUAAAAAACUUUAUUUAUCCAAGAACUGGUCUUCCAGUGGUAAUGAUAAGAACUCUGAGGAGGGGUUACAAAAUGGUGAAGAAUCUAUACGUCAAUUUGCUUCAAAUAUGUAAUGGAUAAUCUGACUUACCCAUAC
rnacentral:misc_RNA from 1 species